AAUGAACGCUGGCGGCGCGCCUAAUACAUGCAAGUCGAGCGAGAAGACGUAGCAAUACGUUUGUAAAGCGGCGAACGGGUGAGGAAUACAUGGGUAACCUACCCUCGAGUGGGGAAUAACUAGCCGAAAGGUUAGCUAAUACCGCGUACGCUUCUUGGACUUCGGUUCAGGGAGGAAAGCGAUGCCGAGGGUAUCGCGCUCUUGGAUGGGCUCAUGUCCUAUCAGCUUGGGUGAGGUAACGCUCACCAAGGCUUCGACGGGUAGCUGGUCUGAGAGGACGAUCAGCCACACUGGCACUGCGACACGGGCCAGACUCCUACGGAGCAGCAGUAAGGAUAUUGCGCAAUGGGCGAAAAGCCUGACGCAGCGACGCCGCGUGGGGGAUGAAGGUCUUCGGAUUGUAAACCCC
rnacentral:rRNA from 1 species